AUUUUUAAAAAAAUACCAAUCAAAACUUCCUAAAAUUUUCAAGAUCAUUUCCAACUUUUUAUCUUUGUUUUUAUUGCAUUUGCUUUUGUGUUCUUGGUCAUGAAAUCCUUGCCUAAGCCAAUGUCUAAAAGGGUUUUUCAAAUGUUAUCUUCUAGAAUUUUAUCUAUUUCAUGUCUUAGAUUUAAGUCCUUAAUCCAACUUGAGUUGGUUUUUGUAUAAGGUGAGAGAUGAGGAUCCAGUUUCAUUCUCCUACAUGUGGCUAGCCACUUAUCCCAGCACCAUUUAAAACAAAUGUGUCUUGAAUUUUUACUCCUUUAUUCUUCCAUAUAAAUUUUGGUAUCAUUUUGCUCAAGUUUGCUUGAAAUUAUAGUAAAUAAAACUAAUUUAGUUUAGAUUUUUGUUUUGCAAAAUUUAGUUU
rnacentral:lncRNA from 10 species